rnacentral:ncRNA from 1 species
GCAAAGGCAAGGACAGAGAAGAGUAGCUCAUUAGAUUUCUUUCAGGGAGAAAGUGCCGAGACUGGAAGCACUUUUAAGAAAUGGUGGGUGAAGUUCACCUCUCGAGCCGGCAUCAGGACCGCUUCUGCGUAAAGAUGCCCCGGUGAAGAACCGUUACUUCAAUGAAGUGAACAUGCUUAGCAUGUUAAAAAGGGUGGUACCGCGACCAAAGCCUCGUCCCUUUC